UGUUUCUAAAAUAAAUAGUAUAAAUACUAAGAAAUAAAAUAAUAAUAAUCAGAUCAAUAAAAAAAUAAUCAGUAUCAAUAAUACUAAUUUUAUAGGCUAACAGAAAAUAAUUUAUUGACUACUUCAAGUACGUUUUAUUUCGGGAUGUAUUUAUAAGAGUUUGUUUUUCCUUAUAUAUGCUAUAUAAUUAUUAGCAAAGCACAGUUUGCACUGUAACUCAAAUAAAUAACUGAGAAGGGGUUCAUUUGUUAUUUGCAGUAGGCAGUGAGGGAAUCACUGUUGCAGCGGUUGUUUACUCUACAGCUAAUCAGGACUGCACUGUGGUCCAUUCAGCCUGUAUUACAGCCACUCGGGAUAUUUGGACGCUAUUUUAAUUCUGGGACUCUUCAAAGAUACAGACCACAAAUGACAUGUCCAUAUAGCAAUACAUUUUCCAUUCUCGUCUCUUGAAGGCACUUACAGGGCAGUUUAUUGGUAGUGUGUUUGUUUGUUUGUUAAGUUUAGUUUCACAUAUUAUUUGAGUGUCAUCAUUACUUCCCCGGUUUUCGUAUAAUUUGCCUUUUGAUAUAAAAAAAAGACACGUACAUUUUGAAUAUCCAAAAAAAUAUAUAAAUCAUAAUUAUUCCCGUGCUUGCGAAACAAGUCAGUGUUCAGUAAAUUAAACCUGAAAUCAAACGCUAGGAGACUUUUCCCUUUGACAAGCUACACAUUUUUGCUGUGUGUGUGUGUGUGUGUGUGUGUGUGUUUACACCACGCUGACGGCCUUCAGUCUGGUAAAGUGCUUUAGCUCAGCGCGCGCGUGCUGGAGUCGCUGGCCGAAAAGCGCGUGCGCGUUUGAAGGUGUGUAAUUGGCCUUGGAGGCACGUACGGAAUUUCCAGAUGUGUAUGAAACCGAAGCUGCCUUCAGCGGCCACUGGAAGGUGGACUAUAGGUUAAACUCUCAUGUACACACAGCUUGCUUUUACGACGGCAAGCCUAGGCCCAAUAUUAACAUAAAUACUAUUACAUUUCUCUUAAGGGAAAAUCACCAAAAGAGCUCCAAAUGUGUUUAAUAUAGUCCCAUUACCCCGUUAGGUUCCUUGUCAUAAUAGCUUAACAUAGCGUCUUAUAAAUAUAAGCAGCAUAUUUAGAGCUCUUUUGGUCAUUUUGUGAUUUCCCCUAAUAUGAUUUAUUUUAAUAAUAAAAUAUAUUAAUAUAUAAUUUUUUUCUCCAAAAUAUUUAUUUAUUUUAAAAAACUGGAGUGCGUUUCCAGUUGUAAAGGAUUUGGCAGAUGCACGUUAGAGGCACACGAACGAAGCUUAUUUUGAACAGAUGUUAGCAUUUUCGUGUCACGUGAAUGGAACAGAUGUUCAGAGGCCGAGGACCGCCUUUGAAUUCACUCCACACGAAAAAUGAGCUUUGAAACAAAGCUUUUGCUUUCGCUCACGAUGAGAAAGACUGCUCCGAGUGACUCCGGCUGUCUUCAGGGACUCCAGUGUGCAGAGAUGAAACAGAUUUGUGUUGCAGAAGGCUGCAGAUUAACGGUGUGGAGGUGCGGAGCUGGAGACACAGAGAGAGUGGGAUGAGCUGCUAGUAGAAAAAAAACCUCUGCUUUACAGAAUCAGACCGUAUACAUCUAAUGAGCUUACCAGUCGGAUGGCCUGUGCCACCCUCGGUGGCCUGAGGGUAAUUAGCCUAAUGACGCUCUCAGCUCCCUCCCAGUGGGGUCGGCCCCACACCGGCCACUAAUCUCCAUGCACUCAUUAACCUGGAGCCCACCGGAGCCCCUAAGACAGACCACCUCUUACUGCCAUGAGGCCAAGAUAAGUGACGUGUUGUUCUUGGGCAUUACAAUGAUUCUCCUUUUCCUUCCUCUGCAUGUCAAGAAGCUUAAUCUGCACUCACAGGCUAAAGAGAGGCCUUGUGACAAAACUGAGUGAUAUUCUUUUAAGUAAAAUGUUUUUAAGUAAAACACUGAAUAUCUUAAUGAUUCAUUUGUUAUAACACACAUGAGCAUCCUGGCCAUUUGUGUAAUUCACAGUGGACACUAUUGUACUAUAUUCAGCAUAUCUGUUAAGUAAGUACAUAAGUACAUUAGGCCAUAAUUAGGCCAUAAUUUCAUUUUAGAUUAUAAUUUAUCUUGCUUUUUACAUAGACUAGUGUAAUAGCUUUUUUUGGUCUAGGGUUGCAUGACUAAAGUUUUGAAAUAUUUUUGUCUGGUUUUGAUUGUGUGUAGGACCUUUGCAUUUUUUUGAAUAGCUAAGAGCAUGAAACAAAUAUUAAGCGAAGCAAUGACAUAUGAUGAUGACAUAUUCUUUCCUUCUUUGCAAACUUUUAACAAGGUUAAAGAUGGCUUGUGAUGGCACACCAGACAUUAGAACAUCUUUAUUUCUGCACAUUCAUCAUAACAUUGCUAAUAAGCAUGUGCUGGCUUGACAUUUUCAGGUAUGUCACACAGCGAGUGAAUGGAGGAUCAAUUACUUGUGUCGGAUUGGGUCACUAAGUAUGUUAAAUGGAUGUUAAGUGGAUUGUCGGUAUCUUGGUUUUAGGCAUGGCCCCAGGCCACAGUCAUCAAAUGUCAUUGUAUUUUUAAGUGCCUUUAUUCAGGAUCCUGGUGCAAAAACUAAAGACUAUUUUUGCUCAACAUUUACCACUGUUCCUAGUCAAUAUACAGAAUAUGAUAGUGUUACUAUUCUCCUUUCUCCUUUUUGGUUUGAAAUUUCACAUUGUUUAAACAAUGCCAAAAAGCAAUACAAAUGUAAAAUGCACUGCUAUUAUAAGACCAAUAUAGAAAAUGUUGUUGGAUACAUUUUAAAUCUUUCUAUAUUUUCUCUCUUUAAAAAAAGAAGAUACAGAGUUAUGAUUGUCUUUCUAUAAUGAUGUAUAAGUAGCAGUUAGUUCCAGGUUGUAAAGAGAUUUAUCUUCUAAGCACAUUUCCCAUCAGAAUGACAAGGUCACCAUUUUAAAAAUUUGAAAAUCACCUUUAAUAAAUAAUAGAAGGCCACAAUCAGAUUGGGUAGCACUUAUGCAGUAAUAGUGUGCAUUUACAAUAACAACAUUAUAUGCUAUUUCAAAAGUUUAUGUAAUGAAUUGGAGAAGCAAUGUGCAUUAUGUGAUGAAUAUAUCAAUGGUAAUUUCAAUAUUACCAAAACUAUGUUUUCAACAUUCAAUUACAGCUAUUAAUAAACUGCAUAGCAACCAUACACUUAAUGAAAACCCAGCCCUGUUUAUGUGGACUAAUGUUACACAUUUUGAUUAGAAGCCACUGGAUGUGUUCAAAAUGUUUUGGUGUGCUGCUUUGCACAUUGGGACUAAGGAAGAAAUCAAUCAUUGUUGACUAGCCAACAGUCAUGUUGUGUUCAACACUGGCAUAGCACGGUAAAGAGCGUUCAAACUGUCCUCAGACGUUAAAGCAUAGCAAAGCACAUCUGUUCCACAGGUUACACUUUAAGGAUUGCAAAGAUAAAUCAAUAUGAAACUGCUAUGAAAUGUACUUUACUCUCCAACCACCAUAAAGAAGAACAUUUGUGUUGAGUUUGUAGAACGCAUUGCAUGGGAAACAGUUUAUUGGAAGACAGUACGAUGAUUGAUGGGCACAAUGGAAGCUUUUCACUGAUCGAAGACUUGUAUCAGAUGUUUAAUCUGAAGUUUAUUUUUUUACUGAUUGCUUUAGUUAAAUAUCAAUCUUAAAAUGCAGUUUUGGCAAAGAAGAAAAUUGCAUAUGCUCAUAGAAUGAUCCAACAGUGGGCUCUGCCAGAGAGACAAACUAAAGAAUCUCUAGAUUUAACCAUUUUUUUUUGUAAGAGUGUACUUGUAGCCCUAUAACACUUUUUUUCAUUACAGGUUGCAAAUACUCUAGUUUUCUUUUUUAUAGUUUCUUUGUCCUGUGUCUUCCUCCAGGGUAUCCAAUGAUAUAAGCUAGCCACACUGUUUUCUUUCAAGAGUAUUAACCUAUCCAUUUCCAUCUAACCUAACCUAUUCUCCGUUGGUUAAAUCAGCGCUAUAUCCUGGGGCGACCAUGGAGCUGUUUCAGCAAUUCCUGAUUGUGGCUUUAAUAAGGCCCUGAUAGCACUCAUAAUGCUGUAGUGUUCUUUGUCCAAGCCUCCAGUGAUCUCUAUGGGACACUUUCUGUGGAAACGUGCAGGAUGACACCAACUUCUCACUUAUCUCUAUGCUGAAACACUGUGUCCCUGGAGCGCUGGCUCCGGCCCAUGGUGUGGUGAACCUGGCUGCUGCUGACCUAGGUACUAAAUCAAGUUCAAAGCAGAGCUCUGCGUGCUCGCCAGUAUUGUGUUACAUGUUUGCUGUUGGGAAGUGGACAGCCUGCCUGAAGUUUGGUCCACGUCUGGGCUCCCCUUUUGACUCCUCCUCACAGCAUGAGCUCGGUUUGUGCGACACGACCUUAGGGCAGGAUGUACUGCAUUUCUCUCUUAACCCAAUAACAUUAAUCUGGUCACGGUGGAGUUUUCCUUCCUUAUUUUUUAUGAUUUUUAUGGCUUUUUUUUUACAUUUUGUUUUUUAACAACUAAAAAAGACCAGAGACUCAUUUACUUAACCUUGAGAGAUUGUAUGGACAAAAUGACGUAUGUAAAAAACCUGGCUUAAAAUGGUCCGUUAGGUUAUUUUAAAAAAAAAUUGUCUAAUGUCUCAACCCAGACUGCUUUUAUAUUCCAACCGCACAUACCACAUGGCUGAUAAGAUAAAAGUAUGCAGCGGUGCAGACUGGAGAAUGGAGGCAAGGCAGAACAUAACGCUAUUUUAGAGUUCAAUUGCCUGGUACUCUGAUCAUGUUGAUAAGGCAGUCUGAUAAACACGGACACUCACGCAAAGUGUAGUCUGUGCCACAGCACCUAGGGCCCCUAACGCUAUGGUGGUAUGGGAGAGUAAUUACUGCCUCUUGCCCCAUGCUACACCACAUUAAUUCUUGAUGGGCUGCAGCUCAGUGCUAACUACCAUCCUUGAAGGAAAUUCAUCUCCACUGCCAUCUCACCCAUAGCCCCUUUCAAAAAGAUGACCAAAAAGUUACUAGUAGGGUUAAAGAGCUGAAUCUGUAUCUUCGUUUGAACUUAAAUAAAUGUAGACGAUAAUGUAGUGCUGGAGGGCUGUGUAAAUGUGGCGUGUCAAUAUUGUUAAGCAUUUGAAAGGUUUUCUUCAACCUUUAGUAAAAAUAAUGAUGUUGCGUUUUCAUUCAGAGACAAAUUAGAGUGUAAACAUGCAACACACAUGUUACUUAGUAAGGAUCAGAAAUUAAAAACCAUCACAGAAAUGAAAGCUAUUUUCUUUGUAUAUUCUUACUGUAUAUCCUAUUUUCUCUUAAACCUUUAUAAGAAGUUGGUAGAUAAAAGUUACUUUUUAUACAGCAGUCUGGUUAUCUCCCAGAGGCAAUGCAGAUGCAAGCUAAGAAAUUGCUAAUCAUCAUGCCAGAAAGAAAGGGAUAAAACUAAGACACGGUAAGGAAGAAGCAUUGAGAGUGACUCUUAGCUAGACACUUUAGCUAGUUGAGUUUAGAAAUAUGUCAUUAUAAAAUAGUAACAGUUUCAUCAUAAAAGAGUAUUGAAGUAUGUUCAGGUCAGUGACAUGACAAAGUACUGUGUAGUUAUUUUAGUGUGUUGAAUACUUUUCCUUUCGUUUCACAUCUGAUGGGAAAACUCAACAUUACCAACAGUCUCAAGGUGAAACAGUUGUGCUUUUCCUGCAGUGACCUUUGAACGAGGGCCUGAAAUAUGAAAAGGCCCACAGCACAUAAAAUAGCCGCGUUCCUCUGUAGUAAAGUCAGCAGUAAAGCUUACUAAUUAGAGCUACCAUGGUUACUGCGUCAAACAGCGGCAGCAGGGCUGAGAACACUUCUACGACAUCAAACAGCCUCAGAUCGACAGACUCCUGCACGGGCUGCACGGGACCUGGUUUGAAUUAAGCGACUUCCACACUCGCCUCACAAAUGCGUACUCCAGAGGGAGACAGGGGAAGAAAAAAGGGGGAGAAAGAGACAAAGUGAGAAAGGGCCCAAGCUGAACUUUGCUGGAUUUCAUUAGACUCAAUUAUCUUAUCUGUUUCGUUUCAAAGGCUGACCUGAGGGACGGACAGCAGUUGGGCGAGCUCACUGGUAUGUUGAGACUGUGUUCACUGAGAGUCUGCAUCCCGCCAACUGGGUCAUUACAACACUCAGACUCCCUGCCUGAGGUGCUCAAAUAUUUGUGUGCUUUUGUAAAUAAUUUUAAAUUUUUUAACCUCCCUCAAGCAAACAAGUCUUUGGUUUAUGUGCCUUUUCUUUUCUUUUUUUUUUUUUUUGGAAAACGUAUACAAUUUCUCCCUCUUAACCAAUUCCAUCUGACAUUUCAGCUGCAUUUGUAUCUAUUUUUAAACAUUACAAUCUAUCCAAGAUUUAUUUUGACUCAGUCUGUCUACUUUAAAUUUAUCGCUGAGUAAGAUAGAAUCAGUUCACCUCUUAUCUACUUCCUAUCCAGCUUUGUUCGCCUAAAACACAUGGGCCAAUCUACUUUUAUUUUAACACAACUUACACAUUGAACAUAAUGUCUCAUAUUUUAAAAGUAUUGCACACAAGGUGAAAUUUGGCAAGCAUUCAUAUGUUCUGUUCCUAGAAUCUGUCUAGGGCUUCAUCUGUAACUUCACUGUGACACAGGGAAUGCUUUGGCAAAUUGAUAUACUGUAUUAGAUGGCAGUUCAAAGCAUCCACCCAGUAAUUACAUAACCAUUUGCUCAUUUAGACUGUGAUUUUCCACACACAUUAUUCUUACUUCAGUACAAGGAUACACAUUUCUUUGCGUGGGCCAGUGGGAACAUUUCUUUGUAUAUUCAGUGGAUAAACAUUCUGAACAAAUGCCUUUAAAAUAAUUACAUUUAUAUGUCUUAUUACACACCCAUGAACAAAUACCUAUUUAGUGGUUAAAACAGAGUCUGCAUUAUUUAGCUGGUCUCUAAUUAUAUAUUCCAGGAAAUUAUGCAAUUAGCUAUUAUAGUCAGGAAAACAUUGUUCUUGCAGGCUAUGGGAAUUCAGUGCAUUUACAAUACAAGUCAGUGUUCUCUAAUGUACUCUUACUCUGCAAGCUGAGCUGUUCACUGUAAAGUAGCAGGCCAGCUGUCCAAGUAGUAUGGGCGCUGUGUGCCUGCUCCCACACUGUGGUUCAGAGAAACACCAACCUAGAAAUUACACAGCGUGGUCAAGCUCUCUAGAGAAGAUCAUCAAACACAAUGUUAAGCAGGGGCCUCUUCAUGAGCCCUGACAGUGCACCCACUCUUUCUUGAUAUCGACACCUGGGGCUUGCAUGGUCCCACAGGCCAAUUUGGGUAAUCAAACAAUGCAGCAACCCUGUCACACAACCUAGAGAAGGCAGAGCUAAUCAGGCAGGAGCUCAGUGCUCUUAGAUGGAGGGAACAGGAAAGGCUAGAGGACUUGGGGCUGAAAUGGAGAAGCCACCUCAUCAAGGGGCUCCUUUCCCCCCUCGGACGAGGUCGUCUUCAUCAUGGGUGCACCAGGAAAUGCACAGGACGGCAAGGUCACCACCAAUUGGCCUGCUAUGUGUUGUUGCCAUGGCAAACGUCCCAAGGGCCAAUGAAAACAGAUGACAUGAACAAUAAUAUGAGGUGUAAUCAACAGGGUCUUGGCUUCCACAUUUCAUCUGCCCACCCCUUUUCAUAAAAAAAAAAAAAAAACUUAUCUUGGAAGUGCUUGCUAGCUUUGCUCAGACAACUUCAUAUAAUUAAUGGCUGAAAGAACCCAGGCCUCACUUUGCCAAUACUAAAAAUGGACUAAAUACUAGGUAAUGGGCAAACUGUGGUGAAGGCUCUGUUCCAUUGUAGAUCAUUGAUUGCAAAAUGACACAAAACGAGGACUGCGCUCUCUCAGACAACCACAUAUGAGCAAUUGCUGAGAGAUCCCAGUCCUCACUUUGUGCCAUUGCGUAAUGGACACUCCACAAUACAACUCUGCCUUCACCAUUAAUGACUUAUUAACUGCCAGCAGUUCAUAACCUCUAUAUAGCUAUUACAAUGGGUUCCAUGGCCCCUGCAAAUGGAUCAUGUUGAGAAAAGAUAAGUGUCUUUUACAUGUUUAAACAACACAGUGUAUGUAAUUACUCCAGUUCAACAACUCAUAAACUAAUGUGUUAUCUGUUACAAUCUCCCCUGCCUGCUCUAUGCAUUGUAUUAGAUAGAGAAAUGAGAUUGCCAUGAAAUGAAAGCACAGUCUCAAAGUUCCAUACUCAGAGUAAAAAGACUGACCUCUGACCAUUUAGUCAAACAAUCCAAAUGCAACCUCCUCCCAACUCUUAACACUCAACAUUAAGGACGUAUCAGUGUUGUUCUCUCCAUGCGCUGGUAUAGUGCCAAAGUAUUUUGAAUUACUGCACAGCUUAUAAGCGCAUUGUUUGGCCCCCUAGAAAUUAUGUCAGCAUUGUACGCCAAAAUCUUUUAUCACUUGCCAAAAAUAAUGAGGGUAAAUAAUUGCAUCCAGAUGUGGCCCAUUUCAGCUGAUAGCAGCCUUCAUUUCCUGCCUCUGCUGUCUCAGACGAAGUACUACACCUUAGAAGAAACUGCCACUAACACACCCCCUUUCUUUUAUAUCAACGCUAACUUCCUGUGUUUGCAUGUGCACUCAGUUUGGAUCAUCUAAACAUGUGAAGAAAUCAUAUUUGUUUUUUUUAUAUGACAAAAACAACUCUGAGAAUUAAUGAACAUUUCGCAUAGUAUCAAUUACAGUGUCUACAUCUCAUUAAAAUAGAACAAUUGAGACGAAUAAAGGAGAGGCAUGAUUUAAAAGGGCUGGGUUGUAAUAUUUGUUUGAGUUAGGGGGCGGGUAGUAGGCGGGGUUCCCCUAAGUGAUGGAUGAAAAUGUGUGUAUUAUCUGCACAACCAUAUCAGUUUUCUCAGGUCUUCCAACUACAUGAAUUUCAAUAUUAAGUGAAUGCUGCUAGGCCAUUGAUUUGGGUCAUUUAUAGUCCUCAGGCCUGGAGCACUGCCUGUGUUGUGGCUUUUUAGAAAUCUGAAGUGAGUAGAGUUAAAAACAAAUUAUUUUAUAGUGGAUACUGAAUUCUAUGCUGGAAUUCAAGCUGGCUUAUUGUUGUCUGCUGAUAUGGUGCUGGUUUUCCUGUUUGCUUGGUUGAAAGAAAUUAAACGUAUUAAACAUUUUUUUAAAAUGAUAACAUCAAUAAAAUUGAAUGUAAGAUGGCAGGAAAGCAAGCAUUUAGCAUGUUUGCUCUCACUGCUCUGCUGUGCCUUGCCUGUUUCCUUUUUUUAAUCCUUUUUUAAUCCUUUUUUUUUUUAAAUCCUUCACAAACUAAUCUGAUGCUGCCAAAUUUAAAAUGAGUCAUCAUGAGGUAAUCACUUUUAUAUAUAUUUUAUAUAUUUAAUAUAUUUUUUACUUAUCUCAUUGCAAUUAAAAUAAUGUUACAACUUGUACUAAAACACAACGGUGAAGUUGGCUACCUUGGUUUUCUAUAAUGAGACACCAUUAUACAGAAGUCAGAUGCAUCAUGUUUUAUAUUAAGAGAAAAGGAAGUGUUUACUAGUGUAGAAACUGAAUGAACAGCUCUAUUUUAAUGAGGCCUGUUAACAUCUACAGAUGCACAGUGUCUUAUGGUAGUUUCACUAAAAGAAAAAAAAUGAUGAAACAGGGGCAGCUCUUUUUUAAGUCAUAGUUUUUAGCAUGAAAUUAAAACUUGGCUUGCACAGUUCAUUGCAGUUUGUAUAAAGAUUCCAUGGCAACAUUCUACUGAACACUGUGAGCCAUGGAAAUUACAAGUUUAUCAAUAGAUCUUUGAACUAUGUAUUGUGGUAAUAGGCAAUGCCACAAAAAUAGUGAUUUCAUGUAUUGAUUCAUGGAAAGAACACAAAUUUAAUAUUUAAAAAAACACUCAGAAAAGUAAUAACUUUCAAACAGUAUUUUGAGGAACUUGCUUGCAGUUGUUCUCCACUUUUGCUCAUGAAAAUAAAUGAUUUUGAGGCAAAGUUUGUCCACAGACAGUGGACUUGCCAUUGACUAAAGGGCAUUGUUUUGACAGUGAUUAGUCUCAUCAAAAUGAGAAUUCCUGACAUUAGUUCUGAGGCUGUUGGGCUUGAUGAAGUAGUCCCAGAGCUGCACUGUUUCAUGACUAGUCCCACGGAUCAUAAACUUUGAAAUCCAUAACCAAGCCCCAAUGCUCAUUUUCAAAACGGGUGGUCAAACUUCUCUCCCACACGUUCAUUCUAUUUCUGUCUUUUUUCCAUUUGCAUCCUUGUGUCUCAAUUUUGAAUUCCCUCCUAUUCAUUUAUAACUUUAUUUUUUCCCAGUAAAUCUUUUGCUUUGAUCUCCUUGGCUUAUUUUUUUUUUCUCUCUCUCUAACUGCAUCCAUUUUCCCUCCAUCGUCUUCUUCCUGAUAUGUAGUUGUGUUACAUCUUCCUGCUCCUUUAUGCAGUGGAGCUGCAUGAAGCUUAGAUUCUCAGCACCGCAUACACAUGGAGGUGCAGGAGCAUUCUUCAUGCCAAACUGUAUCCUGCUCCACCUGAGCAAGCACAGCUUGAGUAAUAAGGAUGGGGAAAGAGAUAGAUCGAGAGAGAAAAACUGGUGACAGUGUGUUGGAAUUGUACCUCCAGUGUAUAAUAACAUUAGUCUUCCGUCCUGGCCCGGCUGAGCCUUCCUUCUGGACGUGGCCCUGCAUAAGCUUCA